rnacentral:piRNA from 1 species
UGUUUUUGCUUGUUGGUAGACUUAUGA